AUACAAGUUCACUAACGGGAGAGAAGAGUGCUCGAAAUUCAGGCAUCUUGGGUCACCUCCACUGAAUGCCCAUCCCCAAUCAAGUAUCUGAUCUGGUCCAUAAUGUUGGGCCCCCGAGCACAGAUCUCUCUCCAGAUGAAAAAGUAGUCCCGGACAGCUUGGAUGGGGAUCCCAUGGCUCCAUCCACCGUAACGGCCCUUCAUCACCC
rnacentral:lncRNA from 1 species